rnacentral:rRNA from 1 species
CCUACGGGAGGCAGCAGUGGGGAAUAUUGCACAAUGGGGGAAACCCUGAUGCAGCGACGCCGCGUGAGCGAUGAAGUAUUUCGGUAUGUAAAGCUCUAUCAGCAGGGAAGAAAAUGACGGUACCUGUCUAAGACGCACCGGCUAACUACGUGCCAGCAGCCGCGGUAAUACGUAGGGGGCAAGCGUUAUCCGGAUUUACUGGGCGUAAAGGGGGCGUAGACGGCUGUGCAAGUCAGAUGUGAAAGCCCGGGGCUCAACCCCGGGACUGCAUUUGGAACUGUUUGGCUGGAGAGUCGGAGAGGCAGGCGGAAUUCCUGGUGUAGCGGUGAAAUGCUUAGAUAUUAGGAAGAACACCAGUGGCGAAGGCAGCCUGCUGGACGAUGACUGACGUUGAGGCUCGAAAGCGUGGGGAGCAAACAGGAUUAGAUACCCGUGUAGUC